GACAGAGGGUGCAAACGUUGCUCGGAAUUACUGGGCGUAAAGCGCGUGUAGGUGGAUUGGUGCGUCAGAUGUGAAAUCCCUGGGCUCAACCCAGGAACUGCACCUGAAACUACCAGUCUUGAGUGGUGGAGAGGGAAGUGGAAUUCCUGGUGUAGAGGUGAAAUUCGUAGAUAUCAGGAGGAACACCAGUGGCGAAGGCGGCUUCCUGGACACCAACUGACGCUGAGGCACGAAAGCGUGGGAGCAAACAGG
rnacentral:rRNA from 1 species